CGGAGGAUCCAAGCGUUAUCCGGAAUCAUUGGGUUUAAAGGGUCCGUAGGCGGUCUUAUAAGUCAGUGGUGAAAGCCCAUCGCUCAACGAUGGAACUGCCAUUGAUACUGUAAGACUUGAAUACUUGUGAAGUAACUAGAAUAUGUAGUGUAGCGGUGAAAUGCUUAGAUAUUACAUGGAAUACCAAUUGCGAAGGCAGGUUACUAACAAGUUAUUGACGCUGAUGGACGAAAGCGUGGGGGAGCGAACAGGAUU
rnacentral:rRNA from 1 species